rnacentral:rRNA from 1 species
AGAGUUUGAUCCUGGCUCAGGAUGAACGCUAGCGGCAGGCUUAAUACAUGCAAGUCGAACGGGAUUCGAGAUAGCAAUAUUUUGAUGAGAGUGGCGCACGGGUGCGUAACACGUAUGCAACCUACCUUUAACAGGUGAAUAGCCCCGAGAAAUCGGGAUUAAUACACCGUAACAUUGCGGGAUGGCAUCAUUCUGCAAUUAAAGAUUUAUCGGUUAAAGAUGGGCAUGCGUGACAUUAGCUAGUUGGUGAGGUAACGGCUCACCAAGGCGACGAUGUCUAGGGGUCCUGAGAGGGUUAUCCCCCACACUGGUACUGAGACACGGACCAGACUCCUACGGGAGGCAGCAGUAAGGAAUAUUGGUCAAUGGGCGCAAGCCUGAACCAGCCAUGCCGCGUGCAGGAAGACGGCCCUAUGGGUUGUAAACUGCUUUUGUCAGGGAAUAAACCUGUCUACGUGUAGGCAGCUGAAGGUACCUGAAGAAUAAGCAUCGGCUAACUCCGUGCCAGCAGCCGCGGUAAUACGGAGGAUGCAAGCGUUAUCCGGAUUCAUUGGGUUUAAAGGGUGCGCAGGCGGAUUGAUAAGUCAGGGGUGAAAUCCCACAGCUCAACUGUGGAACUGCCCUUGAUACUGUUAGUCUAGAGUAUAGUUGAAGUUGGCGGAAUGUGUCAUGUAGCGGUGAAAUGCUUAGAUAUGACACAGAACACCGAUCGCGAAGGCAGCUAGCUAAGCUAUAACUGACGCUCAUGCACGAAAGCGUGGGGAUCAAACAGGAUUAGAUACCCUGGUAGUCCACGCUGC